CUCCCCACCCGUUCUGCCUUCCAGGUGCAGCAUGUGGUGUCUCAGAACUGUGACGGGCUCCACCUGAGGAGUGGGCUGCCGCGCACGGCCAUCUCCGAGCUCCACGGGAACAUGUACAUUGAAGUGAGCAGUCCUGCAGGGACCCGGGGUCUCCACGGGCAGGCGGGUCCCACUCACUGUGCCCUCUUGCCUCUAGGUCUGUACCUCCUGCGUUCCCAACAGGGAGUACGUGCGGGUGUUUGAUGUGACAGAGCGCACCGCCCUCCACAGACACCAGACAGGCCGGACCUGCCACAAGUGUGGGACCCAGCUGCGGGACACCAUUGUGCACUUUGGGGAGAGGGGGACGUUGGGGCAGCCUCUGAACUGGGAAGCGGCGACCGAGGCUGCCAGCAGAGCAGACACCAUCCUGUGUCUAGGGUCCAGCCUGAAGGUUCUAAAGAAGUACCCACACCUCUGGUGCAUGACCAAGCCCCCUAGCCGGCGGCCGAAGCUCUACAUCGUGAACCUGCAGGUAACUCGGGUGCUGAGAGCCACGUCCUUAGAUCU
rnacentral:sRNA from 1 species